rnacentral:rRNA from 1 species
GACGAACCGAGCGAACGUUGUUCGGAAUCACUGGGCUUAAAGGGUGCGUAGGCGGGCUGCCAAGUUUGAGGUGAAAUCCUCCGGCUCAACCGGGGAAGUGCCUUGAAUACUGGCGGUCUGGAGGGAGGUAGGGGCGUGCGGAACUAACGGUGGAGCGGUGAAAUGCGUUGAUAUCGUUAGGAACUCCGGUGGCGAAGGCGGCACGCUAGACCUCUUCUGACGCUGAGGCACGAAAGCCAGGAGAGCGAACGGG